GUGAACGCACCACUGGUGUUCGGGUUGUCAUGCCAAUGGCAUUGCCCGGUAGCUAAGUGCGGAAAAGAUAAGCGCUGAAAGCAUCUAAGCGCGAAACUUGCCUCAAGAUGAGUCUUCCCUGGGCCUUCAAGGCCCCUAAAGGAACGUUUAAGACUAAGACGUUGAUAGGCUGGGUGUGUAAGUGCAGCGAUGCAUUGAGCUAACCAGUACUAAUGAUCCGUGAGGCUUAACCUUACAACACCGAAGGUGUUU
rnacentral:rRNA from 1 species